rnacentral:rRNA from 2 species
GGGGCAACCCUGGUGGCGAGUGGCGAACGGGUGAGUAAUACAUCGGAACGUGUCCUGUAGUGGGGGAUAGCCCGGCGAAAGCCGGAUUAAUACCGCAUACGCUCUACGGAGGAAAGGGGGGGAUCUUAGGACCUCUCGCUACAGGGGCGGCCGAUGGCAGAUUAGCUAGUUGGUGGGGUAAAGGCCUACCAAGGCGACGAUCUGUAGCUGGUCUGAGAGGACGACCAGCCACACUGGGACUGAGACACGGCCCAGACUCCUACGGGAGGCAGCAGUGGGGAAUUUUGGACAAUGGGGGCAACCCUGAUCCAGCAAUGCCGCGUGUGUGAAGAAGGCCUUCGGGUUGUAAAGCACUUUUGUCCGGAAAGAAAACCUUCGCCCUAAUAUGGUGGGGGGAUGACGGUACCGGAAGAAUAAGCACCGGCUAACUACGUGCCAGCAGCCGCGGUA